CUUCGGGGUUCCUGGGUGUCAAACAGAUCUCACUGGGGCCUCCAAAUGAAAAAGCCUAGUGGGGAAACCCCCACUCAAUUCCCCAUUCUGCUUGCACACAAAGAAUCACGAGAAACC
rnacentral:pre_miRNA from 7 species